GUUUUUAAUAUGUGGCCAGAAGACUACUACUAGAUCUUUUUUUUUCUUUUGUGAGAAGCCAUUUUAUUAAUUACUUUGGUGCCAGAUGCAACAGCAAUGCAUUGGAAAGCAGAACAAUUAUUUGGAUGUCCCAUUGGCACUCAGUUAAAACAAUAUUCGGCUUUCUAUUUAUUGGUAUAUAAGGUGCAAGAUUCUUCCAGUUAAUUCCACGAUGGCUUCUUUGUCAAAAAGGCAACAGGAGGGGGGAGGUUUCGUUAUGUUGAGCUAACAUGGAAAGAGAGCUGGUACAUUCAAUAGGAUGCAUCCGGAGCGGGACAAAUGUCCUAAUCUCUGUAAUAUUCACCAAGGCUUGUGAUGGGCAGGUGGUUGAGAGCUCUUCAGGUGUGAAAAGAACAGGUCACGCAUUUCUGGUUUGAGGCUUAGUCCAGGCAAUGUGAAUAUGG